ACGGGGGGAGCAAGCGUUGUUCGGAUUUACUGGGCGUAAAGGGCGCGUAGGCGGCCACUGCAAGUCAGUUGUGAAAUCUCCGGGCUUAACCCGGAAAGGUCAACUGAUACUGCAGGGCUAGAGUGCAGAAGGGGCGACUGGAAUUCUCGGUGUAGCGGUGAAAUGCGUAGAUAUCGAGAGGAACACCUGCGGCGAAGGCGGGUCUCUGGGCCGAUACUGACGCUGAGGAGCGAAAGCGUGGGGAGCGAACAGGA
rnacentral:rRNA from 1 species